rfam:Ancylostoma duodenale strain Zhejiang A_duodenale-1.0_Cont257557.1, whole genome shotgun sequence.
CCAACGGCCCUCUUUAGGGCCACAAUUUUUCACGAAUGCUUAAAU